GACGAACGCUGGCGGCGUGCUUAACACAUGCAAGUCGAACGAAGAGCGAUGGAAGCUUGCUUCUAUCAAUCUUAGUGGCGAACGGGUGAGUAACGCGUAAUCAACCUGCCCUUCAGAGGGGGACAACAGUUGGAAACGACUGCUAAUACCGCAUACGAUCUAAUCUCGGCAUCGAGGAUAGAUGAAAGGUGGCCUCUACAUGUAAGCUAUCACUGAAGGAGGGGACUGCGUCUGAUUAGCUAGUUGGAGGGGUAACGGCCCACCAAGGCGAUGAUCAGUAGCCGGUCUGAGAGGAUGAACGGCCACGUUGGGACUGAGACACGGCCCAGACUCCUACGGGAGGCAGCAGUGGGGAAUCUUCCGCAAUGGACGAAAGUCUGACGGAGCAACGCCGCGUGAGUGAUGACGGCCUUCGGGUUGUAAAGCUCUGUUAAUCGGGACGAAAGGCCUUCUUGCGAAUAGUGAGAAGGAUUGACGGUACCGGAAUAGAAAGCCACGGCUAACUACGUG
rnacentral:rRNA from 1 species